rnacentral:rRNA from 1 species
GCGACUUUUCGGAUUAUUGGGCGUAAAGCGAGCGCAGGCGGUUUUUUAGGUCUGAUGUGAAAGCCUUCGGCUUAACCGGAGAAGGGCAUCGGAAACCGGGAGACUUGAGUGCAGAAGAGGACAGUGGAACUCCAUGUGUAGCGGUGAAAUGCGUAGAUAUAUGGAAGAACACCAGUGGCGAAGGCGGCUGUCUGGUCUGUAACUGACGCUGAGGCUCGAAAGCAUGGGUAGCGAACAGGAUUAGAUACCCUGGUAGUCCAUGCCGUAAACGAUGAGUGCUAAGUGUUGGAGGGUUUCCGCCCUUCAGUGCUGCAGCUAACGCAUUAAGCACUCCGCCUGGGGAGUACGACCGCAAGGUUGAAACUCAAAGGAAUUGACGGGGGCCCGCACAAGCGGUGGAGCAUGUGGUUUAAUUCGAUGCUACGCGAAGAACCUUACCAGGUCUUGACAUCUUCUGCUAACCUAAGAGAUUAGGCGUUCCCUUCGGGGACGGAAUGACAGGUGGUGCAUGGUUGUCGUCAGCUCGUGUCGUGAGAUGUUGGGUUAAGUCCCGCAACGAGCGCAACCCUUAUUGUCAGUUGCCAGCAUUUAGUUGGGCACUCUGGCGAGACUGCCGGUGACAAACCGGAGGAAGGUGGGGAUGACGUCAAAUCAUCAUGCCCCUUAUGACCUGGGCUACACACGUGCUACAAUGGACGGUACAACGAGUCGCGAAACCGCGAGGUCAAGCUAAUCUCUUAAAGCCGUUCUCAGUUCGGAUUGCAGGCUGCAACUCGCCUGCAUGAAGUUGGAAUCGCUAGUAAUCGUGGAUCAGCAUGCCACGGUGAAUACGUUCCCGGGCCCUUGUACACACCGCCCGUCACACCAUGAGAGUUUGUAACACCCAAAGCCCGUGAGGUAACCUUCGGGAACCAGCCGUCUAAGUGGGACAGAUGAUUAGGUGAAGUCGA